UACGGAGGGUGCAAGCGUUAUCCGGAUUCACUGGGUUUAAAGGGAGCGUAGGUGGGCUGGUAAGUCAGUGGUGAAAUCUCCCGGCUUAACUGGGAGGGUGCGCCGAAAACUGCGGGGCUUGAGAGUGGGAGAGGUAAGCGAAAUUCCUGGUGUAGCGGUGAAAUGCGUAGAUAUCAGGAGGAACACCAGCGGUGUAGACGGCUUACUGGACCACGACUGACGCUGAGGCACGAAAGCGUGGGGAGCAAACAGG
rnacentral:rRNA from 1 species